GUUCAAAAUCACCUUCACUAUUACUACAGCAAUAUUCCUCCAACAUCAGACCACAACUAUUGGCAGAACUAAUUAAAUCCAGUAAUCACAUAGCAGGUAAGAAUCUUUUAAAAUCAUGUAGCAAGCUGCCAUGGCAGAAUCUAGAGAUUACGUUGGAAACUUCCUGACAGAAUUUAAGGAGCAGAUAAUUACGAGGGCGACUCGGGUCAGUGACAUUGCUGAGGAUGUUAUCUCCCAAAGUCUGAUUCAUGAUGCGGCAGCUCAACAAGUGCAGGCUGCUCCAAGCAAUCAGGAGGCAAUGCAGCUCUUGUUUAAGGCUUUGGAAAGACAGCCACCCCUAAACAGAGUGUCCUUCCAUCUCAUCCUGAGAAUGACAGAGCCUGAACUGAUUCAAGAAUUAGAAUGGAGACAACGCAACAGCAAGCACACGCAAACAGAGAGAAGCAGUCCUCCCAGAGAAAAAAGAAAACAGGAUGACAAGAAUGGGCAUACGAGUGACAUCCAGAAGAGAAAAGACUUUCUAAAAAGACGUAGACAGAAAACAAUGCGUGCCAUUGAGCAGAUCGAGAAACUUUGGGAAGGAACUAAGCAAGAAAGGACUGAGAUAGACAACAUGAGGCAGAGGAUUCAGCAACAGCGAGACGAGAUAGCCAGGAUGACCACAGAGAAAAGACAACUUGAGAGAACUAUUACUCACAUGAAAGCCAAGAUGGACCACAUCUGUGAAAGAAUGGAUCGUAAUAAAGAAGAGGUAAAUAGAGAGAGGGAGAGGAUUGAGCAGAUGAGAUCUGACCUCCAAACUGAGCAAACCACCCUGGAGCUAAAGCGUGAUGAAAUCAUGAGAGAGAGACAGAACUUGGAGAUGAUCAGAUAUGAGACUCUGAGACAGAAGGAGGAGCUGGAGAGCAACCGUGAAAGCACAAAGUACGAGAUGGAACGAAUGGAACAAAUGAAAAGUACCAUACAAGUUCAGAUCAAUGAGAUAGAGAUGAAGAUUGAGGAAACACAGAAAACAAAGUGUCAGAUGGAGCAGAUGAAAGCUGAAAUAGAGGAGGAAAAAGCCGAGUUGGAGAGAAAGAAGGACGACAUCAAGAGGCAAAGAGACCAAUUUGAGCAGAUUAAAGCUGACAUACAGCAAGUAAAGAUGGAAAUGGAACAAAGGUGGCAUGAAACAGAGAAAGAAGGGCUGGAACGGAGAGCUAUAAUUCAGAGAGAGAAAGAUGAGCUGAAAUACCUGCAAGAUGAGAUUCAAAGAGCAAGAGAAGAGGUGGAAAGGAACACAGCAUUUUCAAAACAAGAGAAUGAGAGAAUAAACCAACUGAAAGCUCAAGCACUCACAGAAAACAACCUCAUUGAAAAGAAAUGGCAAGAUGUCUUAAGAAAAGAAAAAGACCUGGAAGAGAUUAAACAUGAAAUUGAGAGAGGUCGAGAGGAGUUGAUGAUGAAUGGAGAGCUGGUCAAAAAGGAAUGGGAACAAAUCGAACAGGCCAAAGUGGACAUACAAAAUCACAAGAUAUCUAUGGAGGCCAGAGUUGAGGAAAUAAAAACAGAAACUGUUAGGCUGAAACAUAUGAAAAUAGAGAUGCAGAAAGAUAAAGAUAUUUUAGAAAAACAGAAGGAAGACAUACAGAAAGCUAAAGAAGAAAUGGAGAAGAACAGGUAUGAGAUAGUGAAAGAGGAGUUAGAGCACAGAGCUCGUCUGCAGAGGGAGAGAGACGAGCUGGAGAGUGUAAGAGUAGAGAUACAAAGGGCUAAUGAUAUGGAGAAAGCAAAGAUACUGAAAGAGAAGGAAGAAAGUGUUAAGAUAAGAAAAGAAGCCAGACAAGAAAGAGAAAUUACAGAACGGAUCAAAGCAGAGAACAAGGCCGAAAAAGACAGCUUGAACCGAAGACAAGAGGACAUGCUGAGGGAGAGACAACAGCUAGAAAGAAUUAAACAUGAGAUGGACAGAGCCAAAGAGGAGAUCGAGAACAGCCAAGAAGUCACAAUCCGGGAAAAUGAGAAAAUGGAAAAAAUGAAGGCUGAUAUUCAAGGACAAAUUGAAGAUAUUGAGAAGAAGGUUGAGGAGAUCCAAAAAACAAAAGAAAAAAUGGAGGAGACAAAGGCUGAGUUGGAGGAAGAGCGGGAGGAGCUGGAAACAAAAAGAGAAUUGGUGAGAAUAGAGACUGAACAGUGUGAGUUCCUCAGAAGUGAAAUCAUCAGGGUGAAGGAGGAAAUGGAGAGCAGGUGGCAUGAAACGGAGAAAGAGAAGGUCGAACUCAGAGCAAAAACUCAGCAUGAGCUGGAAAGACUGGAAAAAUUAAAGGACGAGGUCCAAAUAUCCAAGAAAAACACUGAGGAGAGCAUGAAUGAGCUCAUGCAAUGGAAGGAUAGUCUUGAAAAAAUGAGGGUUCAGGCAGAAGAAGACAAACUUGCCGCUAUCAAACAGAUGGAUGAGGCUAAAGCAAAGAAAGAAGAGCUGACAAAAAUAAUAGAACAGAUGGAGAAAGAGCGAGGGGAGAUUAAUAACAACAGAGAACAGGCUAAUCAAGAAGCAGAUGAAAUCAAAAGGAUGAGAAAUGAGCUACAAAGACAACAGGCAGAAAUAGAGAACAGGAUUAGAGUGGCAAAACAAGAAAAAGAGGAGGCAAAAAAGGCCAAACUUGAAGUCCAAGAGGCUGAGAUGCUCUUAGAAAAGCAAAUGGAAGAGUCAGAAAAAAGACGGUAUGAAACCAUAACAGAGGCAUUGGAGCAAAGAGAUGAAAUACACAAAAAAACAGAGGAGUUAGAACAAAUAAAUGAAGAGAUACAGAGAGCCAGGCAUGAGCUAGAAAAGUUGAGGCAUUCUGAAAAAGAGAGCCGAGAACAGAAAAUGUUGGAGGACACACAUCAAGAGAGAGAGUUUGUUGAGCAAAUGAAAAUAGCUGUGCUGAAGGACAAGGAAGAUCAGGAAAAGUCUUUAGCUGAGAUAGAGAAGGAGAGAGAGGAGCUCAAACAGAUUAGAGUUCAGGUCCAGAAUGAGAAGAAAGAUCUAGAAAAACGAAGGUAUGAGAUGAUGAGAUAUGACGUAGAACAGAGUGCUCAGGUGCAGAGACAAAGAGAAGAACUUGAGAAGAUCAAGACUCAGUUAGUUAGAGACACAGAGACCAUGAACAGAAGUAGAGAAUUAGCGCAACAAGACAGAGAGAAAGCCGAGUGUAUUAUGACUGAGAUCCAGAAACAAAGAGAGGAAGUGAAUAAAAGGUUAGAGGAGACAAAACGACGAGAGGACGCUUUGAGGAAGAUGACAGAGGACAUGGAGCAUGAGAGAGAAGACCUGGAGGAGAUUCGUGUGGAAAUGCUGAGAGGGAAAGACACAUAUGAAGAGGUCAAGGAUGAGAUUAACAGAGUGAGAGCGGAGAUAAAGAGGUUGUGGGAUGAGGCUGAAAAGGGAGAGCUGGAGGAACGAGAGAGAUUAAACAGGGAGAAGGAGGAGACGAUGAGGAAAAUAGAAGCUAUGAAAAAGGAGAUGGGUGAGAUUGAAGACACGAAGGUGGAGUUAACAAAACAAAAGAAGGACAUUGACGUAAAGAUGGAAAAGGCAAGGUUGGAAAUGACUAAACUUGAAAAGAUGAAAGCAGACCUCCAAAAACAGAAAGAAGAUAUUGAAAUCCAGAUGAUGGAAGCAAAAAGUGAGAGAUACCAGAUGGAACUGAUGAGGACUGAGAUCUUAAAACAAAAAGAGGAUGUUGAAAGGAAAAUGGAGCUAGCAAAAGCAGAGAUGGACAAAAUGCAGCUUGUCAAAGAGGAAAUACAAAGACAAAGAAAAGAGCUGGAGGAAAGGAUGCAGAAAACCAAACGAGAGAUUGAAGAAAUGGAGCUGAUGAAGAGAGAAAUGGAAGGGAAGAAGAAAGAACUUCAGCAAAGGAUGAAAUUGACCAUGAGGAAGAAGGACGAGAUGGAACGACUGAAGAUGGAGAUACAAAGAGCAAAAGAUGAGAUGGAACGGAAAAGAGUGGAGACAGAGAGGCAGAAGUAUGAAAUGGAGCAAGUUAAAGCUGAAAUCCAAAGAGCGAGAGAGGAGUUUGAACUUAGGAUGGAGGAGAGAGAUUUAGAAGAAGAGAAAGGACAGAUGAACCUCACAAUAAUCAACCUUAUUCAACAGAUUGAGGCGACGAGAGAAAUGGUGCGAAAAGCAAAAUUCCAGAUUGAAAGCCAAAUGGCAGGAAGUCAGAUGGAGAUGACAGACCAAGAGGAGAUGAAUGCUGAGAUGCAGAGGCUCAUUCUGGAGAUUGAACACAUCCGUGAAAUGCUGCGAGGUCUUAAGGGUGAGGUGGAACACAACAAGGAAAUGAUGAAGAGAGACAGGGAUGAGAUGAGGCUGCUGAAGAAUGAAGUUCAACGAAGGAGAAGAGAGAUUGAAUACAGAGAAGAAAAGAUUAUAAGAGAAUGGGACGAACUAGAACUCAUGAGAAAUAUGUUGCAGCGGCAAAGAGAGGAACUGGAGGAGAGGUUGGAGGAGACCAUUAAAGAGAAUGAUAAGGUGGAGCAGAUGAGAGAAGAUGUGAAAAAUGCCUUGGAGAACAUAGAACGGGCCAAAAAAGAGAUAAAGAGAGAGAAAGAACUCAUUGCUCAAGAAAAGACAGGAAAAGAAAAGGUUCAACCAGCCAUCAUUCCAACCGAGAGCCAAGAGUAUGCAAAAACAGAAGAACCAGCUGCCAUUAAAGUGGAAGACUUUGUCAGUGAUAGACAGGAAGAAAGACAAGAACUGGAACAAUAUAAAGAAAUCCUUUUAAUAGAGAAACAUGAACUAGAGAAGACAAAGGAGGAUGUACAAGCGCUGCAGAAUAAAACUGAAGAGAUGAUGACAAAAUUACAAGAGGAGGAAAAGGAGAUGGAAAAGAAACAAGCGAGUCUACAAAACUGGGAAAGACUGCUGCAAUCAGAAAGAGAGGAGAACCAGAGAGGUUUAGAUGUAAUAUGGAAAGAGAAGAAGCAGCUGGAUCAAAGAAAACAAGAACUAGACAAUAUGGAAAUAAAUCUACAGAGAGAGAAAUAUGAAUUGGAAAAAACAAGAAAGAUUAAGCAAGCUGAUGUGCAAGUCCAAACUGAUGUGAUGGAUGAUGUAGGAAAACAUCAGAUGAUCUUGACCAUGGAGGAGCUGGAUAAAGAGCGACAAGCACUAGAGUAUUUAAAAAAAGACUUACUUGCACAAAAAAGUACAAUUGAGAGACAACUGGCAGAAAUAAAAAUGAGCAAGGAUGAAUUUUCGCUCAAAGAAGUCGCACUGCAAACUGCAACAAAACACGCAGCAGACAUGGAGUUGCAAUUAGAACAGCGAAAACAGGAGCUAGAACAAACAAAAGAUGAGCUGGAAAAGACAAAGCUAGAAAAAGAAGACAUGAUAAGAACAGAAUUAGAAAAAGCAAGAGAUGUCCUAAAUCACAUUAGACAGGAUAUAGAAAAACAAAAACAAACCAUGGAGGCUGAUCUAAAAGACACUUUUGCUAGAGAACUAGAAGACAUCGAAGCUCAGCAAAAAAGGAUAGAGGAUGAAAAGAGAACAUUAGAGAACAUGAAAUAUGAGCUGGAAAAGGAGUCUAGUGAUGUUGAAAGGUUAAAACAGAAUGUGCAGAAAGAAAGACAGAACAUGGAGAAAUGGGCAGAGCAGCUCAAAAAAGAGAGGGAGGAACUAGAAAAGAAAAUGUGUGAUAUUCAACAAAUACAAGCACAGAUAGUGAGAGAAAAGAAAGAGCUAGAGAAUUCGAGAGAGGAGAAUGAGCAGACAUUGAAGGAGAUCAUAAUGGAGAGAGACACUCUUGAGAAACAAAAAGAUGAUUUUGAGAAUGAGAAGGAAGAAAUCAAGAAAAGAGAAAAUGAACUGCAGCAAAUGCAAGCUGAUCUUAACAGACAACAAAAAGACAUGCAUGAUAUUCAGAAUAUAGUUUUCAUGCAAAAAAGUCAACUUCAGAUAAGCCAAGAGGAAAUAGCUGAAAAGCUAAAACAGGUCGAUAACAUCAUGCAGUUCACACAAAAUGAAAAAGACAGUCUUGACAGAGAGAGGGCGGCUAUAAUGGAGCAGAAGCAGCAGAUGGAGAGAAACAUGACAGAUGCACUAAACAGAGAACUGGAAACUGUGGAACUUGUGAAACAAGAGAUACUAAAUGAGAAGCGACUUAUUGAGGACUGCAGAAUAGCUUUAAUGAGAGAGAUACAAGAUUUGGAGCAAAAGAAAAUCAAUUUGGGGGCUCAGGCGGAUGAGAUAAAAUUACAAAGACAAAGUAUUGCAGAAGAGAAAAACACGUUGGAACAAACUAAAUCUUUGCUGCAAAGAGUAGCUGAAGAUACUGAGAAGCUAAGACAAGAUACACAAGCUGAAAGACAUAAACUUAAAAACACUGCUGUGCAACUUCAGAAAGAGAGAGAUGCCAUUGUGAGUCUUGCAGAGGAGACAAAAAGGAAGAGGGAGGACCUGGACAAAAUGGAAACUGAUAUAGAAAAGCAUGAAAAAGCCAUGAAGGCUAAUCUGCAAAAAGAAGCCAGUGUCAUUGAAAAUUUAAGACAAGCUGUUCAAAAUGACAUACAAAACAUAAAAGAUAUGGAAGCCAAAAUUCAAAAAGAAAGACAAUACACUUAUAGUCUAGUUGAAGAGACUGAAAAAAGGUCAAAAGCUCUAGAUGAGCUACAUAUGGAGGUUGAAAAAGAAAAGCAAUGUGUUGAGUCUGAGAGAGAUGUGCUAGAACAAGAGAAGUUUAAGCUUAAAGAACUCAAAGAUGAAUUUGCUCAGCAAAAAGAACAGAACAGUAUUAUACUGGCAGAGAUACAGAAAGAAAGAGACAAUCUUAAGCAGUUGAUUGAAACCAUCUCAAAUCAAAGGUGCAUUGUUGAAAAUGAUAAAGAAAAUUUAAGACUGAGAGAAAAUGAACUGAAACAAAAAGAAGCAGAGAUGGAAAACAAACAAAAACAAAUAGAUGAGUUGAAGAGCAUUUUAAGGAUGGAAAAGAUGCAAGUUGAGCAGAUGCAAGCUGACCAAGAUCAACACAGGACAGCUGCACAUGAAAAAAUACAAUAUGUUAAGACUGUAAGAGAAAGAGAAGCGGCAGAUCUGGAGAAAGAGAGACAGGAAAUUGAGAAUUUGAGAGAAGAAUUGAGGGUAGAAUAUGAAAAUGUGGAGCUCCUAAAGGAAAAUCUAACUGAACAAAAAGAAGUAUUUAAAAGCCACAUGAAAUCACUGGAAAUGGAUAAGGACGACAUAGAGAAAAAUAAAGCCAAACUGCACAAAGAAUUUGAAAACUUGCAGUUUCACAGGCAAUCUUUUGAGAAAGAGAUACAGCAGGUGAGAGCUGAGCUUCAGAAAGAGACUGACAAUACUGAGAGAAUAAAGAAAGAGGUGGUGGCUGAAAAGCAGAGUAUAAAAGACAUGGCAGCUCAAAUUGAACAUGAGGGAAAUGACAGAAAAGAAGCUCUGGAGAGGAUGCGUCUUGAGCUAGAAAAACAAAAGCAAACAACUGAGACUGAAAAAGAUAUACUAGAAAAACAGAAAUCUGAAGUGGAGAGAAGCAAAACAGAGAUAGCUAGAGCAGAAGAAGAUCUUGCUGAAAAGAGAAAAAUGUAUGAUAUUGAUCGGUCAGAGAUAGAGAAGCAAACAAAUUCCCUUGAGCAAAUAAAGAUGAACAUCUCACAAGCGGAACAUGAUAUUAAAAAAGCCAAGGACAGUUUAAGACAUCAAGAAAAUGAACUGAAUAUACGUACCUCACAACUUUAUGCACAACAAAAAGAAAUAGAAGAGACUCAGGAUAUUAUCAUGAAACAGAAGAGUCAGCUUAAUGAAAAGCAGGAUGAAAUAGAAAAACAAAAGCGAGAACUGGAGAAUGUGAUGGACAGACUUGAGAAAGAGAGGACUGAUGUUAUGGAAGAAAGACAAAGAGUGAAUGACAUGCAAGUAGAACUGAAGAGGGAAAGUGAAAUAGUGGAGCUGAUGAAACAAGAAGUUCUCAGAGAAAAAGAAUCUAUUGAAAACAGCAGGAAAAUACUAAAAAGAAAUCAAGAGGAUAUUCAAGAAAAUAGAACCAUCUUAUCGCAAGAGUUUGAGACCUUAAACUACCAGAAACAAUUGAUUGGCGAAGAAAAGCAGGAAUUUUAUAAGAUGAAAACUGAGCUCCAACAGGAAAAGGAAAAUAUUGCUAAACUAAGGGAAGACAUAGAAAAUGACAGGCAGAAGGUUGAGGAAAUAGCAAACAAACUUCAAAAAGAAAAGGAAGUUAUAGAGACUUCUUUUGCAAGGCUAAGAUCAGAGGAAGCAGAUUUAAGAAAACAAAAACAAACAAUUGAAUCUGAAAAGGAAAAGUCUGUCCUGGAGAAAACUAAAACAGAGAUAUCCAGAGCGAAAGAAGAUCUUGAGAACCAACUUGAAUCACAUAAAAGGCAAAAUGAAGUAACACUGGCUGAGAUACACAAAGAGAAACACAUUCUUGAGCAGUUAAGAAUGAACAUAUCAAGACAGAGAGAUGAUCUAGAAAAGGACAUUGAGCAAACAAGAUACAAACAAGCAGAGCUGCAAAGUCUAAAAAUGGAAAUUCAGAAACAGCAAACAGAGAUAGAUGAGCAGAAGGUGAUGAUUUCCAUGGAGAAGAGUGGGCUUAAAGACAUACAAAUUCAAAUAGAUCAACAGAAAAAAGAGACAGAUGAAACCAAAGAACAGAUAAGGAAGGAGAGAGAUUAUAUCGAGAGGGAAAGAGCAGAAAUAAUUAAUCAAAAACAGCAUAUGGAGGUAAAUUUAAGGGAAGAACUAAAAAAGGAGAGUGAAAAGUUAGAACUGCUCAGAAAGGAGUUGUAUGAUGAAAAGGAAAGAAUUGACAAAAGCAGGAAAAGCAUAAAAACAGAUAUGGAUGCUUUGGAACAAACAAAGCUUGAUGUAGUUAAAGAGUUGGAGAUUAUCCAGCUUCAGAAACAAAUGAUCGAGGAUGAGAAAAACAAGACUGAGCAGAUAAAAGCUGAGCUAAAAAGAGAAGCUGAAGACAUUGAGAAGAUAAAAGUAGUGACACAAAAUGAAAGACAGAAGCUUCAGGAAGCAACAACCCACCAUCAGAAAGAUAGAGACAAUGUUCAGAGUCUUACAGAGGAACUUGACAAGAAAAAAGUGGCUCUAGAAAAUGUGCAACGGGAGAUAGAAAUGCAAAGGAAAGCAAAUGAGUCUAAUAAACAGAUGCAAGAAAGGGCUCUGUUUGAGCUGAAGAAAACUGUGACAGAUAUAGCAAGAGCGAAGGAGGAUCUUGAAAACCAGCUUGUUGAAGAAAGAGAAAAGAACAAGAUCACACUAGCAGAAAAAGACAUGCUUCUUCUACUGAGAGACAGUAUUUCAGAGCAACAGGAUAACAUUGCAAAUGAGAGAGAGCAAAUGAGACUUAGAGAGACUGAACUUGAACAACUCCAAGCUCUGAUUUAUAGACAGCAAGAUGAAAUGGAAGCCACACGAAAAGCUCUCACAAUGGAAAAAAGUAGACUUGAGGAGAAGAAAACUGAAAUAGAUCAAAAAUGGAGAAAAGUAAAUGAAAUCAUGGAAUUUACAACAGGAGAAAAGGCUUAUCUUGAGAAAGAGAGGUCUGAAAUGAUAGCACAGAAACACCAAAUGGAGAAUGAACUGGAGCUCUUUAAGGUGGAACUGAAUAAUGAAAAAGAAUUAACUGAAGAAAGGACCCAAAUGUUAACAACAUACAAGGCUGACAUAGAAGAAAAAAGAGCAGCCCUAGAGAUAGAGAUAAAGAAGCUUGACUAUCAUAAAAAAGCUAUUCGAGAUGAGAAGGAUAAUGUUGAACAGAUGAAAACUGAGCUGCAAAGAGAAGCUGAUGACAUCAGAAAGCUAAAAGAAGAAACACAAAUUGAAAGACAGAGUUUGGAAAAGAUGGCAAAAGAACUUCAGAAAGAGAGAGAAGCUAUUGUUCAUCUUGCUGAAGACACAAAAAGAAAAAAGGAGAUUCUGGGUGAAAUGAAAGCUGCAAAUGAUUCUUCAAUGGCAGAUCUACAAAGAGAGAAAAACAAUCUUGAGCAAAUGAGAGUGAACAUCUCCAAACAAACUGAUGAUAUUGAAAAUGAGAAAGAGAAAAUGAGACUCAGAGAGGAUGAACUAAAGCAACUGCAAGCAGAGAUUUAUAAACAACAAAGUGAAAUGAAAAACCUCAAACAAAUCAUCAUGACUGAGAAGCAGCAGCUUGAACUCAGAGAGACUGAAAUAGAAAAACAACAGAAGGAGCUGCAUGACAUUGUGGAGUUUGCAAAUAAUGAGAAGAGCAUUAUUGAAAAUGAAAUCGCUGCAAUGAACAGGGAAAAACAGAACAUGAUGACUGAGCUGAAAAAGAAGUCUGAAGAUGUUGAGCUUCAGAUGAAGGAGGUAUUGACUGAAAAGGAAAUGUUGGAAAAUGACAGACAACUGCUGAACAGAGACCAGGAAAUUCUGCAACAAAAGCUAGUUAAUGUAGACUGUGACUCGGAUAGUCUGAAACUUGAGAGAGAAGCUUUGGGGAAUGAGAAGGAAGUGAUAAAACAGAUCAAAACUGAAUUGCAAAGAGAAGCAUGUGAGCUUGAGAAGAUCAAACUAGAAACACAACAUGAAAGACAAAGGAUUGAUGAAAUGGCAGCUCAACUCCAGAAAGAGAGAGAAGAAAUCAAUAGUCUUAUUGUGGAAAUUAAAAAGAAGAGAGAUGUUCUGGAUGAAACCUAUACUGAAAUACAAAGGGAACAAGAAGCAAUUGAGAGAGGCAAAGACUUGAUUAGAAGGGAAUGGUCUGACCUAGAGAAAACCAAAGUGGAGAUGUCUCAAACCAAGGAAGAGAUUGAAAAACAAAAAACAAACAUUGAGAUCACAUUGGCAGAGAUGCAAAAAGAGAGAAACAUGCUUGAACGCAUGAGUGAGAAAAUAACAAUAGAAAGAAAUAUGCUUGAAGAUGAAAAGGAAGAAUUAAGAAUAGGAAAGGAAGAACUUGAAAGAAUGCGGGCAGACAUCGAAAGACAACAAGAAGAUACUGAUCACCUGAGGUUUGGCAUAACAGAAGAGAGUCUGUUUGAGAAGUCAGAGGCUGAAAUGGUUCUUCAGACAGAGAGUGACGUGGAUGAAGUCAAGUCUUUAACAGGAAAAGAAAUGUCAGAUCCAGAUAGACAUAGUGUUUCGAUGGAGCAGAUGCUGAAAAUGGACUUAAAAGAUACCUUAGAAACAGAAGCUGAGAACCAAAAGUCAGAUUUUCCUGAAGUUGAGGAUGAUUUACCUCAUAAACAGGAGAUGAUGUUAGAGAAGAAGUUUAUUGAAGAUGAAAAGGACAAGCUGGAAAAGAUAAGAGCUGAAUUACACAAAGAAGCUGAUCACAUUGAAAAGAAAAAGCAGGACAUGCAGAACGAAAGACAGAAGCUAGAAGAAAUGGCUGCUCAACUUCAUGAAGAGAGAAGAAGUCUUGAAAGUCUUAAUGAGGAGAUUAAUGUUCAGAAUUUCAAUCAACAAAAGCAAGCAACAGAGUCUGAAAUGGAGAAGACUGAUUCAGAGAAAAUCAAAACAGAAAUUGCUAAAGCCAACAAACUUCUUGCAGCACAUCAGGAGAAGAAUGAGAUGACAAUAGAAGAGAUGCGGAGAGAGAGAGACACUCUUGAAGAAAUGAGGGUGAGCAUCUCAAAACAAGCAGAGACUAUUACAAAAGGUAAUGAAAAUCUUUCUCGCAGAGAAAGUGAACUUGCAAAGCUGCAGGAAGACAUUUUACAACAACAAAAUGAAAUGGAUGAACUGAAAACCACAAUCAUGAUGGGAAUGAGUCAUCUGGACCAGAGACAAACUGACAUUGAUCAAUUACAGCGGGAGGUUGAUGAUCUAAUGGAAUUCACAAAGACAGAAAUGACCAACGUAGAAAGAGAAAGAGUGGAAAUGAUGGCACAGAAGAGAGAUAUAGAGAGAGAUAUGGUCAGUAUAGAGGAAGAAAAGAAGACCUGUGAACAACUGAGACUAAAAUUAUUUGAGGAAAAGGAUCGGGUUGAAAAAGACAGAGAACUGUUGACCAAAAAUUUGUAUCAUAUGGAGAGGCAGAAAAUGGAUAUGGAGAAAGAACUAAAGAAUCUAAAAGUUGAGAAACAAACCAUUCAAAAUGAAAAGGAGGAACUAGAGAGGAUGAAAACUGACCUUCAAAGACAAGCUGAAGACUUGAAGAAACUACCUGAGAAGACAAAGGAUGAAAGACAGAAGGCAGAAGAGAUGGCAGCCAAAUUUAAAAAGCAAUUAGACAUCAGUGGUAUUCCUUCGGAUGAGACAGAGAAGCAGAGUAAGGAAAUUCAGUCAACCAAAGACUUGCUUCGGGAAGAAAGGUCUGAGCUGGAGAAAACCAAAGCAGAGAUAAAACAAGCCAAGGAAGAAUUAGAGAGUCAAAGAACUGACUUACAGAGAGAAAAAGACAUUCUUAAGCAAGUGAGUAUAAAUAAUUUGAGACAAACAGCUCAAAUUGAAGAUGAGAAGGAAAAAAUACAACACAAAGAGUAUGAACUAGAACAAAUGAGAGCAGAACUUCAAAACAAACAAAAAGAAAUGGAUGACAUGAAAAACAACAUAAUAAAAGAAAAAGCUAAUAUGGAGAAUCUGGAUCAAAAGAGAGCUGAGUUGGCUAGAGACUUGGAAAAGCUACAAACUGAGAAACAAGCUUUUAAAAAUGAGCAAGAUAAGCUGGAAAAGAAGAGAGAGGAUAUUGAGAAGUUAAAGCUAGAAGUUCAGAAAAAAGGGCAGAGGGCUGCAGAAGAGUUAGAAAAAGAGAGAAAACAAUUUACUAUGGAGAUCAAAAUGAAAAAUGACACCCUGGAUGAAAUACAAGCUGAGAUAGAAAGACAGAAACAAGCCAUUGCUGUAGACAAAGCGAUCACUACAAAAGAAAAGAUAGAUCUGGAAAAAAACAAGGAACAUUUCAAAAGACAAUCCGUGGAGAGUGACAUCACACGUGCAGACCUGCAGAAAGAGAGAGCUAGUCUUGAUCAGAUGAGUGUGGAGAUCUUUAAGCAAAAACAGGACCUAGAGAGAGAAAGAGGUGAACUGUUAGAACGGCAUCAGCUGAUGGAAACACUAAAAAAGGACAUUGAAAAUGUGGAACAACUCAGAAAAGAGCUUUCAGAUCAAAAAGAAGUGACUGAGAAAAGCAGAACACAGCUGAAACAAGACAUAGAUGACAUGGAACAAAACAAAUCAAAUCUGCAAAAAGAAUUACAGGAGAUAAAAGUUCAAAAACAGGAUAUUCAAGAUGAAAGAGCUCAACUAGAGCAAAUUAAAGCUGAGUUAGCAAAAGAAAGAGAAGCAAAUGAUGAAAUGUUGAGAGAGGCUAAGAAAGAAAUGGAGAAAUUGAAGGAGAUCAAAUCAAAUAUUCUAAUCCAAAAAGAAGAGUUUGAGACUAAAAGACAGUCAGAAGUAGAGGAACUCAUUGGUAUGAGAGCUGAAAUACUCAAACAGAAAGAGGAAUUAGAGGACAAGAUGCAAAAGACUAAACGUGAAAUGAAAGAAUUGAAGCUUCUUCAGGAUGAAACUGAUGGGAAGAGGAAAGAUCUUGAACACAAGAUGAGACAGGCAACAAGAAAGAAAGAUGAGCUGGAGAAAAUGAGAGCUUAUAUUGAAAGUGCAAAUGAGAAACUUGAAAUGAACAGGGUCCUGUUAAGUAUAGAGCUUGAUGAGAUGGAGCGAAUGAAAGCUGAGAAACAACGAGCGGGAGAAGAACUACAUAUGGAAGAGAGAGCUGGAGAUCUGGAAGAGAAAGAACAAAUAAACACCAAGAUACAGAGGCUUAUUCAAGAGGCUGAACAUGACCUGGAAAGAAGCAUGCCAAGAGAUGUUAAUGUUCAAGCGGAUUCAGAAGAAAGGCAAGAAAUGAGUGCUUACAUGCAGAGGCUGAUUCAGGAAAUUGAGCAUGUCAGAGAGGUUCUCAGAAGAAUGAAAGAUGAAGUCAAGGCUGCUAGAAAAGAAAGAUUUGAACUGGAGAACAUAAGGCUGGAAAUUGAAGCCAUGAAACAGAGCAUGAAAGAAACCUAUGAGCAACAGAACAAUGAGAUACAAAAAGAGAAGCAGCAAAUAGAGAGUACCAAAGACUUGUUGAGCAGAGAGCGAAGUGAUCUUGAGCAAAAUAGAGCUGAUUUGGAGAGAAAAAAACAAGAAAUGGCAUUGGACAAACAAAAACUCCAUGAUGAAAAUGAACUGCUGAAGACAGAAACGGCUGACAUGAAGAAACAAUAUGAAAUUCUCCAAAGCCAUCUAAAAGAAACUAGAGAAAGUGCAGGAGAAACAGUUACACUUUCUAAGAAAAUGAAAGGAAUGGGGAGAGAUUCAGAGGAAUUAAGGGAGAAAAUGGAAGCAUUAAGCAUGGGCGACCAGCAAGAAGAGAGUGAGAGUCAGUUAGAUAAAGUUAAAAGACAAAUAGACAAACUGACAGAGUUGAAGGCUGAGCUGGAUCAACAGCAGGUAGAACUUGAGAAAAAUAAAGCAGACUUUAAACAUCAGAUGGAUGAGCUAGAAAACAUGAGGUCUGAGAUAUUAAAACAUAAAAAGGACACGAGAGAGGUGGAGCUGAUGGAUAUACAGAGACAAAGAGAGGUCCUAGAAACAAGGAUUCAGAAAAUGAUGCACGAGAAGGGAGAACUGGAAGUCUUAAGGUCUGAGAUAGUCAUAGAAAAGAAAGAUCUGGACCAGAAGAUGAAACAAGUUAUGAGAAAGAGGGAUGAGAUGGAGAAAAUGAAGACUGAUAUAGCAAAGGCCAAAGAGGAGAUCAACAGAGAUCGACAGGAGCUGGAAAUACUCAGGAAUGAUGUUCAAAGCUCAAGAGAGGAUUUUGAACUAUUGGUGGAGAAAACUGUGAAUCUAGAAAAUGAGGAAAGUACCAAUGCAGACAUCCAAAGACUGAUUUUAGAGGUUGUGAAAAUCAGCGAAAUGGUGAGAAAUCUAAAAGUUGACAUGGAGAACCGGAUGGAGGAAAGUAAGGUGGUGAGAGAUGAAAAGGAAAACUUCAAGUCUGAGAUCCAGAGGCUCAUUCAAGAUAUUGGACCAAUACGGGAACAUCUUGGAAGCCUUAGAGAAGAUAUAGAAACCAUCAGAAGAGACAAGAAUGAAUUGGAAAAGAUGAGGGCAGAACUUGUAGAGAAGCAACAGGCAGAAGAGAGCAUGCUGCAGAAAGAAAGAGAAAAACUGGAGCAGCUGAAAGAUGAGAUAAACAGAGAAAAGGAGGAUAUGGAGACCAAGAGAGAGCUGAUUAAGGAAGAAAUAGCUAAAGAAAAAAUGGAAGAGUUCAAAGACACAAGAAAGAACAAGAAAGAACUGCAAAUGGUCACUGAGGAACUCUUGAGAAACAAGAGUGAUGUAGAACAGCUCAACAAAGAUAUAGAAAACCUGAGGCAAACCAUGGAAGAAAUGAAAACACUGCAUGAAAAGAAAAGGGCUGAACUGGAAGGCAUUAUUUCUGAAGUAAAGAGGACAGAUCAGAUACUGGAGAAGCAGAAACAUGAGUUGGAGGAGAAGGGUUGGAUUGUUAAAGAAAUAGAGAAAAAGAAAGACAUACUUGAAAAGAUCAAUAUGGAAAUACUGAGGAAGAGAGAAGAUAUGGAAAAAGAAAUGGACAAUUUAAGGCACAAAAAGCAAGAGCUGGAGCUCUUUAGAGGUGAACUCCAGAGACAGAGAGUUGAUGUUGAAUCUUCAAAACAAGCUUUGAUCAUAGAGAAAGAUCGGUUAGAAGAUGAUCAAGCUGAAAUCAAUCAACAAAGGCAUGAAGUGAGUGCUGCCAUGAAGGCCUAUGAUGUGGAACUGAAAAAUCUAGAAAAGAUGAGGAAUGAACUAGAAAAUGAGAGGGCUAAACUUGACGAAAAGCUCCAUGAUGCCACAAAAGCAGAGAAGAAACUAGAGGAAAUGAAGAGUGUACUAAACAAACAAAAAGAGCAAGUGGAAGUAAUGAAGCAGAUGGUCAUCACAGAGAGACAUUUAAUUGAACAAGAGAAUGCUGAGCUUCAGAAGAAGUCAGAGAUCACUGACAGACUCAUUCAGGAAGCAAACAAUGAGAGAGACAGAUUAACAGACCUCAGUCUAAAACUUCAAAUGCAAAGAGAAGAUAUAGAGAAUAUCAUCACAGAAAUAGAGACCAAGAAGAAAAAUCUAAAUAUAAUGAGUGCAGAACUUCAAGAUGAUAAGAUACGACUGAAAAAUGACAGGGAUGUUUAUGAAAGGGAAAUGACACAUCUGCAGCUUAAGAGGGAAGAGUUAGUGAUGGAAACAGAGGACCUGGAAAGAAAAACCUUACAGCAGAAAGAACAAGAUGAGAUGGCGAAACGAGAGAUUCAAAAUCAGAAAGAGGCUCUAGAGCAAAUGAAGGUGGACAUUCUGAAGGAAAGAGAGGAUUUUGACAAAGAGAAGAAAAAUGUACAUUCAGAAAAACAGAAACUGGAUACACAACAAGGAGAACUGCAAAGAAAGGAAUGUGAGCUUGAAAAUAGAGUAAAAACUUUCAUGGAAGAGCAGCAGCAGCUGAAACAGACUCAAGAUGAAAUAUAUAAAAUCAAGAAGGAGAUUCAAAGCAAUCUGGAAAUAAAGGAGGCUGAAAUUCAAGAGGAGAGACAGAGAUUAAUGGAAAUGGGUGAAACAAUGACAAGAGAAUGCAAUGAAUACAGAAAGCUGAUUGAAGAAGUGCAGAAAGAAAAAGAGCAGAUUGAAAUCAGCAAAAAGUUGAUGGAUCAAGAGAAGGAUGAUCUUAAAAACAUGAAAAAUGAUCUGGAGAUGCAAUUGCAAAAUCUAAGACAUGACAAACUGAAUUUAGAAGAUGAGAUGAAAGCACUAGAACGGAUAAGAGCAGAAUCCAAAGAGAUUCAAAAUGUUAUCAAGAAGGAAAGAAAGGAUCAAGAGAAAUGCUGGCUGGAAAUUGAGGGUGAAAAGCAAAGAGUGGAGGAAGAAAUCAGACAAUUAGAGAGACAGAGGGAAGAAACAUAUAAACUUCACAGCGAGUUGCAAAUAAUUAGAGAUGACACUGAAAGUAGGAAAGAAAAGAUUGAUAAAGAAAUUAAAGAAUUGUUGCAAAUGAGGGUUGAACUGGAGAGAACAAAAGUGGAAAUUAAAAAGGAUAAUCAACAACUUCAAGAUGAUAAAUUUAACCUUGAAAAGACAAAAGCUGAGAUAAAGAUACAGACAGAUAAAUUGAUACUUAUAGACACUAAUUUAAAGGAGAAAGAAAGAGAAAUGAAAAUCCAACUAGAUAAAGACAGAGAAGAAAUUACAUGUUUGUCUGAAGAGACUGAAAUGAAAAUGAGGGACCUUGAUAUGACGAUGAAGGUGAUGGAGAGACAAAAGCAAGAAAUUGAGAAAACAAAAGUGAUGCUUGAAAAGGAAAAGACAGAAAUUGAUAAAGAAAAGAAAGACUUGGAAAACCAAAUGAUGGACCAGACUGAGCAGAUAGAAAAGGACAGACUGGCCCUUGAGGAGAUGAAGGAAGAACUUCUUCAUGAAAAACAAGAAAUGGAGGAAGAGAGGAAUAACUUGAUGGCUUUAAGCAACAAACUAGAAGUUUUAAGAGCAGAGACAAGGAACAAGCAAAAUGAAAAUGAGAUUUUGAAGAAGAAACUUAUUUUGGAAAAAUCAAACAUAGAGGAAUUGCAGUUUGAGGUACUUAACCAGCAGCGACAGAAUGAUCAAACCAGUGAGGAAAACAAGAAAGAGAGAGAAGAUCUGGAAAAACAGAGGUUUGAAACUGAACAGCAGAAACAGAUGUUGGAGCUUAGCAUCAUAAAAAUUAAUGAGGAGAAGCAAAAACUUCAGAAAGCCAAAGAAGAAAUGGAAAACAUAAAAUACAUGACCAACAAAGAAAGAGACAAGGUUGAACAAAUGCAAGCUGAGAUACACAGUCAGAUUCAGUCGACUGAACUACAAAUGCAACUCAUGCAAGACAAGCAGAAUGCUCUUGAGGAAAAAGAGCUAAACAUACAGAGGAGGGAAAGGGAAGUAGAGAGGAGAAACAUAGAAUUAGAUGGAAUCGCUGCUCAGCUUCACAUUGAACAGGAACAUUUAGAUACUGUUCUUGAGGAAACCAAUAAGAGACAACAUGCCCUUGAAGUGAUAAAACAAAAAAAUAAUAAAGACUUUGAGUUGCUUGAGAAGAUACGGCAUGAAAUAGACAACGAAAAGAUAGAAAUGAAGCAGAAACAAGAUGAUCUGCAGAUUUGGAGUAAACAACAGAAAGAUAAGGUUCAAGUCCAGUUAGAAGAGCUAGAGAAAGAAAGAGAAAAACUGGAAAAAAUGAAGAUUCUUGCUGAGAGAGAACAAUCUGAAAGAGAGAGAGCUGAUAUAAAUAGGCUAAAUGGUGAAAUAGAGACAAUGAGACAAACAGUGAUAAUUCAGAAGAGUGAGCUGGAGCAGAGAGAGAAAUAUAUUACUGAGCAGCAGCAAAGACUGGAUCAAAGUGUAAAAGAGGUAACAGAAGAAAGAAGUGAAAUGGAUAAGAUGAGGCUUGAACUAGAAGCUCGGAGACAUCGAAUUGAAGAUGACAUGAACACUGUUGCAAAGCAGGAAAAAGAACUUGCACAACUGAGAGAUGAAAUACAAAGAGAAAAACAAGAAAUUGGUGAGAACAGGAACAUGAAUAACAAGUUAAUGAAAGAUCUGGAAAUUAUGAAAGCCAAGCUGGAGGAACAACAAGAAGUGAUCCAAACUGAAACAGAAAAACUCCAAAAGGAAAGAAAACUAGUUGACCAGACAAAAUCUGAGGUUCAGAAUGAUGCUGAAAAUCUGAAAAACGUAUCUGAAGAGAUCAAAAGGAAGCAAGAAAAAACUGAGAUAAGGGAGGCCCACCUUAACCAAAUGAUGGAGCAAUGUGUCAAUACCAUGGAAGAAACUAAGAGGAAGAAGAGUGAACUAGAAAAGACUAUUGAUGACAUAGAAGAGCAAAAUCAACUGAUUAAGACUGAGAAAGACCAUCUGGAAAAAGAGAGACAUAACAUUGAAAAGGAAAAAGAAGAUUUGCAAAGACGAGCUGAUGACAUGGAGAUGCACAUGACAGAACAAAAAGAAAAAGAAGAGAUGAGUAAAAGGUUGAUGGAUGACGAGAAAAAGCUUCUUGAGGAAAAGGCUGGCGAAAUUCUGAGACAAAGAGAUGAAAUAGAGAAAGAAAAAGAGGACAUGACAAAGAAGUGGGAUGAGCUGGAUGUUCUUCAGAAGAAAAUACAAAAACAAAGAGACGAAGUGGAAGAAAUGAAAUAUGAGUUACAAACUGAAAAGACUAAAAUGAAUCAACAGCAGCAAGGACUGGAUGAGAUUAUAAGAGCUGUGAAUGAGGAGAGGAGAGAUCUAGAGAACAUGAGGAGUGAAUGUGAAAAAUACAGACAACAAAUGGAAGAAGAGAUGAGAGUAAAAGCAAAGAUGGAGAGAGAGGAGCUUGAUCAGAAGAAGCGUGAUCUGGAAAGACAGAAAACUGAAAUAGAUAAAGACCAGAAGAAAAUAGAUGAUGAGAGAAAGAUGAUUGAACAGGGGAGAAAUGACCUGGAAAAGAUGAGGUCUGAAAUAAUGACACAAAGAAAGGAAAUAGAAGAAGAAAGAUCAGAACUAGACAACAAAACAAAAGAGACUGAUCUAGAAAAAUGUGACAUUAAAAGGAGCAGAGAAACUGUACAGAAAUUAUUGGAUGAGGUGGAAGAACAGAGAAAUGAUAUUAAACUUCAUGAAGAAGAACUUGAACUUGAGAGACAAAAGAUCACUGAUGAAAAAGAUUUUCUGGCUCAAAUAAAGACUGAACUGCAAAAAGAAAGUGAACGAAUCAGAUACAUGGAAGAGGAAAUAAAGAAGGAGAGAGAAACACUGAAGGAAAUGGAAGCUCAUCUACAAAAGGAAAAGGAAGAAAUCGAGAGUGUCACUGAAGAAACAAACAGACGAAAACAUGAUCUUGAAAGAAUGCAAAGAGAGGAACUUGAUCAGAUAAAGAGUGAACUGGAAAGAGAGAAAACUGAAAUUGAUCAUGAGCAGAAGAAAAUGGAUGAUGACAGAAAGAUGAUUGAACAGGAAAGAAAAGAGCUGCAUAAGAUGAGGUCGGACAUAAUGACAGAAAGAGAGCAAAUGGAAGACAUGAGAGAAGCAAUCAAACUAGAGAGGUCAGCACUUGACCAGAAAAUACAAGAGAGUGAUCUAGAAAAGUAUGAAAUUGAAAAGAACAAAGAAAAAGUUCAGAAAAUUCUGGAUCAGGUGGGUGAACAGAGAAAUUAUAUUACGCUCCAAAAAGAAGAACUAGACUCACUGAAAGAACAGAUAAUUAAAGAAAGAGAAAUUAGCAUAAAAGCAAAAACAGAAAGAGAGGAACUUGAUCAGAUAAAGAGUGAACUGGAAAGAGAGAAAACUGAAAUUGAUCAUGAGCAGAAGAAAAUGGAUGAUGACAGAAAGAUGAUUGAACAGGAAAGAAAAGAGCUGCAUAAGAUGAGGUCGGACAUAAUGACAGAAAGAAAGCAAAUGGAAGACAUGAGAGAAGCAAUCAAACUAGAGAGGUCCGCAUUUGACCAGAAAAAGCAAGAGAUUGAUCAAGAAAAGGAUGAAAUUGAAAAGAACAAAGAAAUAGAACUUGACCAUGAAAGACAAAAGAUCACUGAUGAAAAAUAUCUUCUAGCUCAAAGUAAGACAGAAAUGCAAAACAAAAGUGAACAAAUCAGAUACAUGGAGGAAAAAAUAAAGAAGGAGAGAGAAACACUGAAGGAAAUGAAAACUCAUCUACAAAAGCAAAAGGAAGAAAUUGAGAGUGUCACUGAAGAAACAAACAGACGAAAAGAAGAUCUGGAAAGGAUGAACACAGACAUAAAUGAACAAAAACAAGAGUUGAAGAACUGCAGAGCCCUUCUAGAAUAUGAAAGAGAAGAAAUAAACCAAAAAUGGAAAGAGUUACAACAGAAAAUUGAUGAAUAUGAGCAGACAAAGACUAUGUCUAUUAGGAAUGCUCUGGAGGAGACCAGAAAGAAAGAAGAAAAAACAGAAAUGGAAGAAAACCUUAAACAGGCUAACAAGGAAUAUGAAAGUGUCAUAGAAGAAAUAAACAGGAGAAGGAAUGAACUAGAGAAAAUCAUGUUUGAUAUAUCACAACGAAAUCAACAGAUUGAGACAGAGAAAGAUCUUCUGAAGAAAGAGAGAAAUAACAUUGAAAAGGAAAGAGAAGAUUUGCAAAGACAAGCUGAUGACCUGGAGAUGCACAUGACAGAACAAAAAGAAAAAGAAGAGAUGAGUAAAAGAUCAAUGGAUGACGAGAAGAUGCUUCUUGAGCAGAAGGCUGGCGAAAUCCUGAGACAGAGAAAUAAAUUAGAGAAAGAAAAAGAGGACAUGAUGAAGAAGUUUAAUGAGCUGGAUGUUAAUUGGAAGAAAAUACAAAAAGAAAGAGACGAAAUGGAAGAAUUCAAAUAUGAGUUACAGACUGAAAAGUCUAAAAUGAAACAGCAGCAGCAAAGACUGGAGGAGGUUAUAAGAGCUGUGAACGAGGAGAGGAGAGAUCUGGAGAACAUGAAGAGUGAAUGUGAAAAAUACAGACAACAAAUGGAAGAAGAUAUAAGAGUAAAAGCAAAGAUGGAGAGAGAGGAACUUGAUCAACUGAUGGCCAAGAUAUUGAUGAAGCAAAAAGAAACUGAAAGGAGCAAGGAUAUGAUAGACCAUCUAAAGAAGGAAAUGGAGCAAACAAAAGUCAAACUGAAUGCUCAAGAGGAGGAAAUCAAACUGGAAUUGCAAAUAGUGCAAGAUGAAAGGAAAGAUCUGGAACAGUCCAAGGCUGAAAUCAAGAGACAGAUUGAUGAAAUAAAGCUCAUGAAAGAGCAGACACACCAGUUAGAAAAAGAGAAAGAAGUGUUUGAAACAUUAAAAGAAGAACAUCUAUCUGGACAGCUUGUUCAACAGAAGAGAGAAGAAAUGGCAUCUCAAGGAAAACAGAUACAGACAGAUGAAGUCAGCAGACUCUUAACUGAGAUUCAAAGGGAAAGGGAAGAACUUGAAAGAAACAAAAAAAUAUUUGAACAUCAGAGAGAGACACUGGACGAAAUGAAGAGUAAACAACCGACACAGAGGCUGGAAGUCAUUUUGGUUAGUUCUGCUACACAAACAUCUGAUCUAGACAAUAUACCUGUAGGUGACAUUUCAGCCCCUCAGGAACAGAUUGUUGAGGAACACACAGACAUUUAUAAGGAAUAUACAACUUUCAUAACUAAAGGGAGGGAAGAUGAAAUAGAGAGAAUGAGAGGUCAGGAGGACACAGAGCUCAAAAUGAGAAUAGAAGAAACGGAGAUGGAGUCAAGCCAAAAGGACACCGCACUGACAGCAGAAUAUAAAUAUAUACCAGAUCCAUCUAUGAUAGUAAAGUUGGAGUUCAAUAAUGAUGAAACCAAUGGCCUUACUGACAUGCUGAUGACUGAGAAGAAGGAACUAGAAAAGAUGAGACUUGUUUUACAGAGAGACCAGAAAGAAAUUGAGACAAUGAGACAACACAUUGACCAAGAGAAGAAUAAUCUGGAGAAAUAUAAAGCCGCUCUUGAGAAACAAUAUGAAGAGAUGGAGAUAUGCAGACAGAAUAUGGAAAAUGAAAGAUCUGAGUUAGAAAUGACUCAAGAUAAAAUGAAGAUGGACAUGGAAGAAAUUUUAAUGGAGAUCAAGAGCAAACAGAAGAGAACAGAAAACAUGGAAGUUCAAUUUCAAAAAAAGAAGAGAGAAAUGGAAACCAUCUCAGAUGAGAUGAAACAGAGACAAGAGGAGUUGGACUUCAUAAAUACAGAGAUAAAAACAAAGAGACAACAUGAUUUAUCUGACAUACUUGCAGAAAGAGAGGAGUCUAUAAAAAGAAACAUGGAGGAAAUACAGACUCAAAAGGAGGCAUUACAGAAGGAGAGGAAUGAAGCUGAAAAAAUACUUGCUGGGCUGCAGAAGGAGCAAAUGGAAAUGGAGAUGCAUCAGGCAAUGUUAAACUCAGAAAGAAAUGAACUGAAUAGAAUGAGAGUCGAUCUGGAGAUGCAAAAAGAGGAGCUUAGGCUUAUGCAGCAAAACAUAGAGACUGAAAGAGACAAGCUGGAAUCAAGGAUAAGAAGAGCAGAGGACAUAGAGGUACUUUUGGAGGAUGUACUGAAAGAAAAGAAAAGGGUAGAAGAGAUGGCAGCCCAACUUUCCAAAGAACAGGAAGAGUUUAAAAUGAUUAUGACUGAGACAAAUAAAUGGAUAAAGGAGAUUAAACAGAUUGAGGAGGAAAUUAAAUCAAAGCAAGAAGAAAUAAAGCACAAUGAAGAACUGAGACAAAAAGAGCUUCAUCUGAGUAGAGAAAAACUUGAAAAAAUGAAGACUGAAAUUCACAUUGAAAGAGAAGAAAUUCAAAAAAUACGAAAGGAGUGUGAGAGAGAAAAACAUGAACUGGAGCAAAUGAAAACAGGUUUGCAGAAAGAAGAACCACAGAAAACCAAUGCAGAAGUACAAUAUGAUGAAACCCACAAUGUUAUGGACAUAUUGAAAGAAGAGAAAGAAGAAAUAGAAAGGAUGAAAGCCGACCUCCAGAACGAGCAGAGAGAAAUUGAAAACAUGAUGGACAUUAUAAAAAGAGAGAAGACUGAGCUGGAACAGAAGAAAGCUGAAAUGCAGCAAAUGACUGCAGAAAUAAGAACAGACAGUGAUAAGAAUUUGCAAGAUGAAAUUAUGAAGACUGAAGCAAUCCUCAAAGAAACCAAGAGACAGAAGAAUGACCUGGAACAGAUGAAUGACAAUUUGAUCAGGGAAAAAACUGAGCUGGAAAGCACCUGUCAGGUUUUAGAAAAAGAAAAGAGAGAAGUGGAAACUAGAUUACAGGAUAUGGUGAAUGAACUGAAUAUUAAGCUUAAGGAGUUAGAAGAUCUACAGAAGUCCAAGAUUGAGGAGAGAAAGGCAGAGAAGACAAAUCUGGAGAAAGUGAAUGAUGAGAUGGCUAAAGAGUGUGAACAUAUUGAAAAGGAAAAUGAAGAUUUAAGAUUGAGAAGAGAGGAGCUGCUGCAAACAAAAGAAGAAAUUCAAAAGCAGACAAAAGUCCUAGAAGAACUGAUGAACAAAGUGACAAUUGAGAAGAGUGAGCUAGAACAAGAGAGGUGUGAAAUAUACAAACAAAAACAACAACUGGAAGACACUGAGGAUGCUUCAGAAAGAAAGUGGGAUGAGACCCAGGUGGUCACUGAAAGGUCCACACAAGAUGAUGAGGACAUGCAAAUCUUGAAAACUGAGAGAAAGAGAAUAGCACAUCUGAAAGAUCAAUUACUUAAAGAAAAAGAUGAUGUUGAAACCAACAAAGAGAGAAUUAAUAGAGAAAUGGAACAUAUGGAAAAGUUGCAAACCCAAUUAGAUGACCAAAAAGAAGAGAUCAAGCUUGAAAAACAAAAAAUAGAAGACAUGAGGACUGAGAUUCAAGACAAGACAAAUGCUCUGGAGAAAAUUAUGCUGGACUUACAAAAAGAGAGGGAAAAUCUAAAUGCUUUAGUAAUUCAACAACAAAAAGAAAGAGAAGAGAUGGAUUUACUAGCAGAAGAAAACAAAAGAAAAGAGGAGCAUGCUGAAGUUGAGAUACAAAGACAGUUACAGGACAUCGAAAAUAUCAAGGUCAGGUUGGGAAUAGAGAGGAAUCAAAUUGACCAGAUGAAUGUAGAAGUAAAGACUAGAAGUGAAGAACUAGAGAAAAUAAUCAGACAACAGCAAAAGGAGUUUGAAAUCAAAGAGAAGGACAUGCAAAGAGAAAGAAAGGCUUUGGAGAUGAUGCAUGUUGAGCUAGAAAGGAAGACCACUGAAAUGGAAAACAGGAGAGAGAAAGUAACUCUCUGGGAAGCAGAUAUACAGAAACAGAAAAACAAUGCAGAAGAGCUAAAGAACAUCUUAGAAAGAGAGAAAAGUGAACUUGACAGAGAGAAAGCUGAAGUAAAGCGAGAAAAACAAGAGAUGGAAAACAUUCUAAAAACCAUUAAGAGUGAGUUGGAAGACCUAGAGCAACUGAAAAAUAAAAUGGGGGAAGAGAAGAAAGACUUGCUGGGCAGACUGUUAGUAGAAAAACAUGAGGUGGAUCAAUUAAAAACCGAGUUACAGUUGGAGAAGGAGAGUGUUGAAGAGGAAAAGAUGAGGUUGAAGGAGUUGAUGAACGAAACUGAAAAUAAAAGAUCUCAACUGGACAGCAACAUUGUGCAGAUGAACAUGGACAAACUAAAUAUUCAAAAAGAAAAGGACUCGCUGGAGGAUAUCAAGGCGGAUUUACAACGAAAGUCUGAAAAGCUUACUGAGGAAAUCAGGAAAACAGACCAAAUCCCCUCUUACAGCAGUAAAGACCAAGAGGACAUGCCAAAGAGAUUGGAUGACAUGAGAAGAAAGGAAGAAGAGCUCAGUACUAUGCGUGCCGACAUCGAAAGGCAGACAAAGCUUCUUCAAUCUGAUCUACUACUACUUCAGACCCAACAAGAGAACUUAGAAAAGAGCAAAGCAGAGAACGAGACUCUAAGAGAAGAUCUUGAAAAAGAAAAAGAAAAGAAUGACUUGACAAUGCAAGAACUGCACAAAGAGAGGCUGGCCUUGGAGCAGCUGAUCACUGAGAUAACACAGCAAAGAGACACAGUGGAAAACACACAAAAUGAAAUAAGACUUAAAGAACAUGAUCUGGAAAACAAAGAAAAAGAACUUGAUACGCAAAGAAAAGAUACAGAUAACCUAAGAAACAUUGUGAUGGGUGAGAAAAUGCAGCUGGAAAAGAGGCAAAAAGUUAUGAUUCAGCAGCAGCAAGAGGUUGAUGAUUUGAUUAAUGAAAACAGAAAAAUGAGAAAUGAUUUAGAGAGCAUGAAAGCUCAUCUGGAACAAGAGAGACGACAACUACAAGAAAACAUCAAAACAUUUGAAGACCAGAAGAAUAUUCUUGAUCGAUUCAAAGUAGAUGAAGCGCAACAGAGCAAUGAGCUUGAGAACAUUAAAGCAGAAACAAAGAGCCAACAGGAACAUCUUAGGAAGGAAAGAGAAGAGACUGAUGCUCUGACAAAAGAAAUCCAGAGAAAGAAAGAUGAACUGCAAAUCUUAAAUUUUGAGAUUGAAAGGUCCAAGCAUGAAAUGGCAGAAAACAGAAAUCAGUUUGAAAAAGAGAUGGAAAAUUGGAAGCAGAAAAGAACAGAUUUACUGACAGAAACUGAUCAGCGAGCCAAGACCAAAAUAAAGAAGAAAGAUGUAAAAACAAUGGUGGAGAGUGAAACACAGACCCAAGCUGCUUUACAAAUUGACAGAGAGGACACUGAAGAAGACCAGACAGCUGCUGAAUUGCAAGCUGAUCUCCAGAAACAGAAGGAUGAACUAAAAGAACUGAGUAAUACAAUUGAAGUAGAAAAAAAUCAGGUUGAAAAGAGAAAGGUUACAUUAGAUCAACAGCAGCAAGAGUUAGAAGACAUCAUGGUGGCCAUCAAAUGCGAGAGAGAUGUGCUUGAGAAAGAGAAGUCUGAACUUGAUAAACACAUACAUAUACUCAAUAAAAAUAUGCAGACAAAACAAGAAGAGCUUGAAAAGCUUAAUGAUAAUAUUGAAAAGCACAAACAAGAGCUUGAAUACAGCAAAACGAUCAGUGAGAGUGAAAAGCAUUGUAUCGAAAAGGAGAGGGCUGAUUUAAACAGACUGAAGGAAGAGGCUGAAGUCAGCAAACAAAGUGUACAACAAGAGAGAACUUUGCUGCAACAAGAUAAAAACAUGUUACAGAAAGAAAAAGAGGACAUGGAGGGCAUUAUAGAACAAAAAACAAAAACAAUGGAGGAACUGCAAGAGCAAAUAAACAGAAAAUUAUCUGAACUAGAGAUGUUAAACAUGGAGAUUCAAGUAAGCAGACAGGAAGCAGAAAUGCAUCGCUUACCAGGAGAGAUGAAAAUAAAAGAUCACUUAAAGAGAGAUGCUGAUGUCCUAAGAGAGGAAUUACCAGUAAAGAAACAAAAAACAGAUCAACUUGAGAUAUAUCAACUGAAGGCCAUCUCAACAGAUGCUGAAACACAAACAUCUUUGGAUGACCUUAAGAAAACAGAUGAUAGCAGACAACAGGAAGUCAUGGACACAUCUGAAGUGCAAGAUAUUAGAAAAUCCUUAAAUAAACAAAUAGAAGAUUUGGAGAGAACGAAGACAAUGAUGAAAAAGGAGAGACAUGAACUGGAGCAAGAGAAAACUGACAUUCAAAGGCGGGAGCAGGACUUUGAGAGAAAUAUAAAGGAAUUUAUGAAGGAGAAUUCAAGAAAUGAAGAAAAAUUGCUACAACUUACACAAGACAGGGAGGAAUUAUCAAACAACCUUGAUGAGAAAAAUAAGGAAAUAGAGAGCAUCACAGAAACAUUCAUGAGAAAGAUGGGACAACUGGAAAAGACUAUAGCGUCACUGAAAGAAGAGAAGGAAAACAUUGAAAAUGAGUUGCUUCAACAAAAGCAAAAUGAACAGGAGAGACUAAAAAUCCAGAGAAAAACAGAUGAUACUUCCAUUGGAAGUGACACACAUGCUGAGAAUGUCACAUAUAAAACAGCACUGGAACAACUACAAGACACUAAAGAGGAGAAAAAGACAGACAGCAGUCUGGAACUGACUGGCAUUUAUUGGGCCAAAACAGAUGAAGAAACAGAAGCACAAACCUCUAAAACUGACACCCAAGGAGAAGUUCUUCAGGUAAUGGAUGGCACGACCCUUGAACAAGAUGAGCUAAACAUCAUGACAGCUGAAUUACAGAGGCAACAUGAUGAAAAGGAGAAUAAAAUGAAGAUCAUACAAACUGGCCUUCUUGAGCUGGAGAAGGCAAAGGAUCACCUGCAUAAAUUAAGGGAUGAAUGUAAAACUGCUGAAGAAGAAAAGUCAGGGAUCAUGGAGAGUCUCGAGAGGAGGAGGAACAGCCUGGAGAAGGUUCAAGCUGAGGUGCUGAGACUUACCAAGGAGACUGAGCAUCUCACACAAAGCUAUGAAUGCAAAAGAAGAGAACUGCAAGAAAUUGAGACUGACAUACAAAGACAGACAAGGACUGUGAAGACUCAACAAGAAACUAAUAUUCAGAGUGAACAAGAAGACCAAGAAGUAAUAGCGACUACACAGUUCAUUCAAGAAAACACAGAAGAUGUUGAGCAGAUGAGAACUCAAGAGACACAAACUGAAGACCAGGAAAGAGACACUCUACCACAGUAUGAAGAGAUAGAUGCAAUGAAAAGGAGAAUACAGGAAAUGAAAGAUGAACUAAAAAACAGAUUGCAAGACAUACAGAGGAAGGAACUAGAAAAACUUGGAAUGCAAAGAGAAAAAAUCGAGUUGGAGCUACGAAAAGCUGAAAUCGAUAGAUAUAAUGAAGCCCUCAAGCAUGAGAGAGAAACAGACAGAUUCAAGAUCAUAGAAAAGGAGAAAGAAAUACUUCUGUUAAGAGAGUGUAUGCUGCUUGAGAUCAAUCAAUUGAAGAGUGAAGAAAUAGAAACAAGUAGUCAGCGCUUGGAGAUUAUGGAGCGCCUCAUUAGUGAUGCAGCAGUAAGAGUGAACAGAUUCAGAAGAGUUACAGACAGAGCCGUGCAAACGCUGAUGCUGGAAGGAGAUGGAGAGAAGUUUGGAGGAGCUCAAAGAGUGACAAUUGAAUGGAUGGAAAGUGUCAGUGGAAGGGUGGAGACUUCUCUGGACGUCCCGAGUGAAGACAGGGAGGAAGGAGCGAGAGGAGAAUCCCAGAGAGGGGGCGUGGCUGGGCCAACUUCACGGAGAUUGCGGCUACUGCACUGGUUCAGACGGUGCUGCUGUUGCUGCUGUCCCAGAAAUCCUAGAUACACUGUGGAGGACACUGAUGACAUUUUAUAAAUGCAGGUCUUUUUCAUUUAGAAGUACAUUUUCAUAUGGAAUUUGACAGAAGCACGUCCUAAACAAAUACAAUAUAUGCAUUAUGAAGAUUUUUAUUUAUAUAUUUAUAUGUAGUAUUGAGUGAGAAAAAAAACGCAUAAUGGAUAACAUAUAUAUUUAGUCAUCUAAUUACAGAUUAUUUGCAUUGUAUCAAAUGUUUAAUGUUUAUCACAGUUCAUAAAAUAAAAUAAUAAAUUAGAGCA
ensembl:lncRNA